rnacentral:lncRNA from 1 species
UUUAGUAUACCUACAUAAUCAACAUUCCCAAGUACCUCAUUGAUCCAAUGAUGCCAUUCCUGAAGGAGGCUAGAUGAAUCAGACAUGAAGUGAAGGGAACUAAAAGGGUACUCUUGUUUUUCUAUGCAUAAAUAGGGAAUGCGAUCGGAAUGGUGAAGGUCAUCCCAACCUCCACAAGUCGCUGCAUAUAGGAACAAGCAUUCCUUAUCGAGCAGAGGAAGAAUUGUACGGUCAUAAGUCUGGACUUGCUCCCAAACGACGUCAGAAAGACCAAAGAGGGGAGCCCUUUCCCAAUCAUUGAGAAACGGGGCCUCCUUAGUGAUUUCCGGGUCGGCGGAAUGCUUAUAAUGACAAAGAGUAAAGUCUGAUAUUUAACCUUAAAAACACCUGAAAAGAAGAAGAAACAAUGUCAGAAGGAGUUAAGAAUCACAAUUAUACAAGAAAAAGUUUCCCGAAAUUUUUUGAAACAACUUUGGACAGCCUAAAAGCAUCCUUCGAAGCCUCUUUUGGACUUAUAAUGACAUAUGUCAUGGCCAAAGGCAAUGAUUUUUGUAAAGCUCGUCGCUAGCUUCGUUUCGAUAUAUUAUGGGCCCCAAAACUCCAAACGGAUCCAAAGUUCCCUCUACUCAUUCCUUUGAGGUCCUGUUGCUCCACAAAUCAACCGCUUGGAACGAGUGCUCCUUCGCCGCGAAAAUUAUAGUCUUCUUUGAUGAAUUCUGAGGGAAAAAACCAAGAUAUGAUCAAGGUGAUGGGGCUCAGAAACAAAGAAAGACUACAAUUGCCUAAAACAUAAAAGAGAAAUAGAGGAAACAAGUCAAGAGAAAUUCAAAAGAAAACAUGCAAGUAAGUAAAUUGAAAAGCGAAGACGAGAAGAAGGAAUGGAGCCCCAAGGGUUCGGGUCCCCCAUAGGGUUCGGCCCUAUAGGGUUCAACCCCUAGGGUUUGGCCCUAUAGGGAGGAAUCCUCUUUGUUACCUCUCGCUCGGAUUGAGGAAUGUCUUCUUGGUGCUCCCUUGAGGAUCUUCAUGGCUCGUAGGAAGAAAGAAAAUCCAAAAUGAAGCAAGAUAAGCAAGGCCACGUGAAUGGCUUAGGAGAUACAUACAUAUGAAUACAAGUAUAGCCCCCAAAGUAUGCUUGCAACGAAAAAGGAAGCAAUCACUCUUUUUCCAUUAAGGGAAG